rnacentral:tRNA from 1 species
CAACCGGUAAUGUGCGCUAGGUGGCACUACUGAGAGCGGCUGUUAACCGGUUGGUCGCUGGUUCGAAUCCGGCCCGGGGAGCCA